ACUCAGAACAUAGUGCAUUGUUUUUUUUUUUUUUUUUUUAUAUUUUGGCCAGUCCCAUUUUUUCUUUCUUUCUCUGGUUUUCAACUCUUUCAGGUCUCAUUUUUCUUUCAAUUCUUUUGCAUUAUCUCUUUUUCCAGACCUGCUAUUUUCUCUUUUUUUUUUCAAUACAACCAGAUUUUUUUUCUUGGCCUUUCUUUUUCUCUUUUGCACUCACUGAGUUCCUAGAUCCUCCAUCCCUCUCAGAUUUCUACAGGUUGGGUAAUGAUGGGGUGAAAAAUGGCUUGUAAUGAAUGGAAA
rnacentral:lncRNA from 1 species